CCAGUCCAGUUAUACAGUCUAAAGUAGAAAAAUGUGAAAAAUAUAAAUCCUAUUCUAUACUAUCAUAGACUAAAGCUCCAAUGCCUUACCCGACGCUGUGGGCCUUCAUCACGAUCAUUUUUCGCCAAAAUGAUACGUCAGGACAUUCUCUGGUGAAUAAAUACAAUGUGUCUCGGGACAUUCCCCGAUCGAAUGAAUACAUCUGAAUUAAAUAAGCUAACUAAAAAACACGUUCAAAACACACAUUCAAAUAUUCAAAGCAUUCAAUCAACACAUCACUUCUAAAUUUUUGCCUACCCGAACCUAUAUUGCCUAUCCAUUUUAACAUAUCAUAAAUCUAUCACAUUCAUGCUUAUUCCGAAUUAAACAAAAAGACAACAAAGAAAAUUUAACCUACAUUCACCUUUUAUCAAUUUCACAAUUCCAGCCCCGCUAGCUUCGUUUUUACCAAUUACACUAAAAUUACUCCAAUUCGUUUCACAUAUCACCGCAAUCAUACCGUCAAGCACAUAAUCAUGACAUCAACCAAAUCCAACAAUCAUAAUUACCACACACAUAAUCACAACAUCAUUAUACCAAAUAAAAAUGAAAUAAGGAACAAAGGUUAUAAAGAUGGACCUUCCGAAUAUUGUCGAUUGAUUAAGAAGAGAAUAAAGCCGUUCCGGAACCUCAAAGAAUACCACGAAAUCUCGACUAUGAUCCAACUCCAACCCGAUAACCUUGGAACUCCAAUCCGAAACCCCGAAACCAAACAAUAAUCAAGUUUCCGAAAUCAGUACGAGGAUCCACAAGCCCACAACGAAGUCGCAAUAGAGUAAAAGAACCUGUACUUAAACCUCUCAAAAAUGGAUCGAUUUUAAGACGAAGAAGGUCUGUGAGUUCGAAACCCGAUGGUCCCGUCACCGGAAUCAAGUUGAGCAGGCUGAUUUCAGCUAGCUUGAUGGAUGAUUUGGGUUUUUCUACAUCGUGGGGUGCGAGCUAUGGGUCAGCUGUAUUCAAAUCCGGUGAAACAGUAGCCGAUUCCGGCGAAUCAGUAGCCGGAAAGCUUGAGGUCGACCGGAUUCAUUUACUUUUACUCAUUCUUUUUCUGACGAGUGUAUGUGUGUGUCGUGAGAGAGAAGCAUGUGAGAGUGACGAUGGAAGUUUCUUGAAAAGGGUUCUGUCAAUGGUGAUUGUUCUUGGGGAUUUUUUUAGUGAAUGAAGAAGAUCAUGAUCAAGAAAGAAAAAAAUCAGCGCCCCUUUUCUCUCGUUACUCUCUGUAUAUUCUCAAUGCAGACGUUUGUUCUGAGCAAUUGAUUGUUAAUAUUGUAUAACAAAGCCCACUUCUUCUCGAUUUAGCAUGCACCAACUUCUUCUUCCUCUCCGACUUUACGAUAUUAUAUAUAUCCUUGAUAAUUUAAUCUCUCGAAUUAAGGUUUCCGAUUGAAUUAUUGGUUGACCUUUA
rnacentral:lncRNA from 1 species